rfam:Aedes aegypti strain Liverpool supercont1.937 genomic scaffold, whole genome shotgun sequence.
AAAACGGUUCUUUUCAGAGCCACCAAUUAAUAUCAGAGUUAUUUGU